GGUUAAGCGACUAAGCGUACACGGUGGAUGCCCUGGCAGUCAGAGGCGAUGAAGGACGUGCUAAUCUGCGAUAAGCGUCGGUGAGGUGAUAUGAACCGUUAUAACCGGCGAUUUCCGAAUGGGGAAACCCAGUGUGAUUCGUCACACUAUCAUUAACUGAAUCCAUAGGUUAAUGAGGCGAACCGGGGGAACUGAAACAUCUAAGUACCCCGAGGAAAAGAAAUCAACCGAGAUUCCCCCAGUAGCGGCGAGCGAACGGGGAGGAGCCCAGAGCCUGAAUCAGUGUGUGUGUUAGUGGAAGCGUCUGGAAAGGCGCGCGAUACAGGGUGACAGCCCCGUACACAAAAAUGCACAUAUUGUGAGCUCGAUGAGUAGGGCGGGACACGUGGUAUCCUGUCUGAAUAUGGGGGGACCAUCCUCCAAGGCUAAAUACUCCUGACUGACCGAUAGUGAACCAGUACCGUGAGGGAAAGGCGAAAAGAACCCCGGCGAGGGGAGUGAAAAAGAACCUGAAACCGUGUACGUACAAGCAGUGGGAGCCUCUUAAUGGGGUGACUGCGUACCUUUUGUAUAAUGGGUCAGCGACUUAUAUUCUGUAGCAAGGUUAACCGAAUAGGGGAGCCGAAGGGAAACCGAGUCUUAACUGGGCGUUAAGUUGCAGGGUAUAGACCCGAAACCCGGUGAUCUAGCCAUGGGCAGGUUGAAGGUUGGGUAACACUAACUGGAGGACCGAACCGACUAAUGUUGAAAAAUUAGCGGAUGACUUGUGGCUGGGGGUGAAAGGCCAAUCAAACCGGGAGAUAGCUGGUUCUCCCCGAAAGCUAUUUAGGUAGCGCCUCGUGAAUUCAUCUCCGGGGGUAGAGCACUGUUUCGGCAAGGGGGUCAUCCCGACUUACCAACCCGAUGCAAACUGCGAAUACCGGAGAAUGUUAUCACGGGAGACACACGGCGGGUGCUAACGUCCGUCGUGAAGAGGGAAACAACCCAGACCGCCAGCUAAGGUCCCAAAGUCAUGGUUAAGUGGGAAACGAUGUGGGAAGGCCCAGACAGCCAGGAUGUUGGCUUAGAAGCAGCCAUCAUUUAAAGAAAGCGUAAUAGCUCACUGGUCGAGUCGGCCUGCGCGGAAGAUGUAACGGGGCUAAACCAUGCACCGAAGCUGCGGCAGCGACACUAUGUGUUGUUGGGUAGGGGAGCGUUCUGUAAGCCUGUGAAGGUGGCCUGUGAGGGUUGCUGGAGGUAUCAGAAGUGCGAAUGCUGACAUAAGUAACGAUAAAGCGGGUGAAAAGCCCGCUCGCCGGAAGACCAAGGGUUCCUGUCCAACGUUAAUCGGGGCAGGGUGAGUCGACCCCUAAGGCGAGGCCGAAAGGCGUAGUCGAUGGGAAACAGGUUAAUAUUCCUGUACUUGGUGUUACUGCGAAGGGGGGACGGAGAAGGCUAUGUUGGCCGGGCGACGGUUGUCCCGGUUUAAGCGUGUAGGCUGGUUUUCCAGGCAAAUCCGGAAAAUCAAGGCUGAGGCGUGAUGACGAGGCACUACGGUGCUGAAGCGACAAAUGCCCUGCUUCCAGGAAAAGCCUCUAAGCAUCAGGUAACAUCAAAUCGUACCCCAAACCGACACAGGUGGUCAGGUAGAGAAUACCAAGGCGCUUGAGAGAACUCGGGUGAAGGAACUAGGCAAAAUGGUGCCGUAACUUCGGGAGAAGGCACGCUGAUAUGUAGGUGAAGCGACUUGCUCGUGGAGCUGAAAUCAGUCGAAGAUACCAGCUGGCUGCAACUGUUUAUUAAAAACACAGCACUGUGCAAACACGAAAGUGGACGUAUACGGUGUGACGCCUGCCCGGUGCCGGAAGGUUAAUUGAUGGGGUUAGCGGUAACGCGAAGCUCUUGAUCGAAGCCCCGGUAAACGGCGGCCGUAACUAUAACGGUCCUAAGGUAGCGAAAUUCCUUGUCGGGUAAGUUCCGACCUGCACGAAUGGCGUAAUGAUGGCCAGGCUGUCUCCACCCGAGACUCAGUGAAAUUGAACUCGCUGUGAAGAUGCAGUGUACCCGCGGCAAGACGGAAAGACCCCGUGAACCUUUACUAUAGCUUGACACUGAACAUUGAGCCUUGAUGUGUAGGAUAGGUGGGAGGCUUUGAAGUGUGGACGCCAGUCUGCAUGGAGCCGACCUUGAAAUACCACCCUUUAAUGUUUGAUGUUCUAACGUGGGCCCCUAAUCGGGGUUGCGGACAGUGUCUGGUGGGUAGUUUGACUGGGGCGGUCUCCUCCUAAAGAGUAACGGAGGAGCACGAAGGUUGGCUAAUCCUGGUCGGACAUCAGGAGGUUAGUGCAAUGGCAUAAGCCAGCUUGACUGCGAGCGUGACGGCGCGAGCAGGUGCGAAAGCAGGUCAUAGUGAUCCGGUGGUUCUGAAUGGAAGGGCCAUCGCUCAACGGAUAAAAGGUACUCCGGGGAUAACAGGCUGAUACCGCCCAAGAGUUCAUAUCGACGGCGGUGUUUGGCACCUCGAUGUCGGCUCAUCACAUCCUGGGGCUGAAGUAGGUCCCAAGGGUAUGGCUGUUCGCCAUUUAAAGUGGUACGCGAGCUGGGUUUAGAACGUCGUGAGACAGUUCGGUCCCUAUCUGCCGUGGGCGCUGGAGAACUGAGGGGGGCUGCUCCUAGUACGAGAGGACCGGAGUGGACGCAUCACUGGUGUUCGGGUUGUCAUGCCAAU
rnacentral:rRNA from 1 species